UAGGAAGUGCGUCUCCUACUGGGUGAAACUAAACUUUAGGAAGUGCGUCUCCUAUGAUAAACUGAACUUAGGAAGUGCGUUUCCUAUGGUAAAAUUGAAUUUUAGGAAGUGCGUCUCCUAUUGGUACAACUAUUCUUAGGAAGUGCGUCUCCUAUUAGUAGAACUUAACUUAGGAAGUGCGUCUCCUAUAGGGUACAAUAAACUUUAGGAAGUGCGUCUCCUAUUGGUAGAACUGAAUUUAGGAAGUGCGUCUCCUAUGGUAAAACUGAACUUAGGAGGAAAUGCAUCUCCUAUGGGUGAAACUGAAACAAACCUAGGAGGAAAUGCGUCUCCUAUGGGUAAAACUAAACAAACCUAGGAGGAAAUGCAUCUCCUAUGGGUAAAACUAAAACUUAGGAGGAAAUGCAUCUCCUAUGGGUAAAGACGUGGAAUGUAUGCCUCUGUUAUCUGGGCGGGCUCCCAACUUCAAUACUUAAAACGUAAAAACUGAAUGUAUGCCUCUAUUAUCUGGGCGGGCUCCCAAUUUCAACACUUGAAAUAAAAGACUGAAU
rnacentral:lncRNA from 1 species